UAUGUAUAGUCGGGGGGCCUGAACAGGCUGAGAUCGCAAUUUGUGAGACCCGUUGAACCUGAUUCAGUUAAUACUGGCGUAGGGAACUAUGAGUCUUGCUAG
rnacentral:ncRNA from 2 species